UUGCCAUCUACGCUUGGAGACGUUUUCACAGUCUUUUAUUCUUCUCCUCGCCAUCUCUCUCUCCACUCUGUCACACCAUCCCACAGUCCCUCCCAUUGCCCCUUUAAUUGUGUCUUUACAACUUCUUCCCCCUGCGGUUCUACUCACGGUGUAACAUUCAUUUCCACUGAGAAGUGUAGUUCACAAGUCGCCCCUCGGCUGGAAAAAAAGACGCCUGACGCAACGCGCGGCUGUGAGUUGAGUAUUUUUGCCUGGUUUGAAGAUGUGGAGUGUGUGUGUGUGUGUGUGUGUGUGUGAGAGAGAGAGAGAGCGAGGGUGCGACUGUGUGGUUGUGUGUUUAAGAAAUGAGGGGGGCGUGUGUUGAGUUGUGAGCGCAGCGGUGCAACAGCUGGAUCAGCAGUCCGCCCGUGCAGCGCCGCAGGAUGUUGCACGAGGGGUCAUCACAUUAAGUCAAGUUAGUCGCCAAAUGUUCACGAUGCCUUCACUGUCAGGGGUUGGAUGGAUUGUUUUCUCCGUCCUUCUGCUCUGGAGGAGAACGGCAGCUCAAAGUGUGGAGCUGCGAUGCUCCGCGGCCGGACUGGUGGGACCGCUGCACCCUGUUCAGGGUCUGCUGGAGAGGUUUGAGGCGGGUCCAGGCUGCGCUGCUAGAGAACGCGGCAACAAGGAAACUCAUGUCAUCGCUGUGGGGAGGGUGACAAACAGUCCCGAAAACAAGGUGACGGUGCUGCUGAAACCUUUGUCUCUGACCCCCUCACCUCUCAGAACCCUUCACCUGCUGCUCAGCUCCAAGCUCCCAGUCACCUGGUGGCUAGAGGCUGAGAGGCUGCCCCCCAGUCUGCCAGUGAUGGUGCAGUUAUCCUCAAACUCCAGCGUGCAGUCCCGCAACUUGCUUUUGCAUGUCCAAGUGGUGCAUGUGCUACCUUUUCAUCCACGUGCACUGCACCGCUGGGCUAUGAAGCACCACGGUAACCUGACCUCUCUGACGCACACAACACAUGGCAAUCGAGUCUACAUCCGACUUGGGGAGGACCCAACCCUGCCUGACGUGUGCCAUUUACAGUCCAUGUUCCUGUCUCACAACUACAUGACCUCUGACCUGCAGCCACAAGACGUGCAGGGCUGCGCCAAUGUGCCAGCAGGUGGGAUCAACCCUGAAGUCCAUGUGAUCAAGCUGCAUUCAGUGGGCUCAGGGCUCUGUGGUUCUCUUCAGGUGGAGGUGAUUGUCUCUCUUGUGCCCCUGGUGGCCAACUCAAAGACCCAGAAGGUCGUGCUGAUUCUCAGCAGCUCGGUGCCAGUCAACUGGGCCAUUAUUGCUCAUGGUGUCCGGGGUCACGUCUCUGUCUAUUCCUCCAACAGUGUAUCCCCACCAUACCCACAUGAGCCCGGCCUGACCCUGUCCAGUACACUUCACUCUGACCUGUCCAGUGUCUCAGACCUUCUCGUGUGGGCCAGUGAGAGCGGCUACACCAAGGUGACCUCAUACACUGAGGCUGACCUGGCCAAUCGCUUUGUGAUUCAGCUGUCUGGGGGCGGGACAGACGUGGUUGCAGCAAUGAAUCCUGUGUUUGUGAGGCCUCCCUGGGCUGAGGAGCGCAGGCUGAGGCAGUGGCUGAAUGGUGGAGGCAGAGCAGAAGGCCGAGAGAGUUUCACAGUGCAGUGUGAGGACGGACGCCUCAGCGUGACCAUAGACCAACACAUCCUGCAGAGCUCGUCUGUCUCAACGGCUGCUGUGACUCUACGAGACUCGACGUGCCAGGCCCAGUCCAAUGGGAGCCAUUUCCUGUUGGUGUUCCCAGUCAUUUCCUGUGGGACUGAGGCCGUGUUCCUGGGACAGCCCAGAGGGGUGCAGUACAAAAACAUGGUGCUUUUGUGGAGAGACAAGCCUCAGACUAUUUUAACACUCAAUGAGACAGAAAGGAAGUCCAGAAGUCCACUCGGCAUACAUUUCAGCUGUUUGACUGCGGUCCCCACCCUCCCCAGCCUCGCACAUGAUGAUGAUGUUAAUGCAAACACUCCUCAGGCAGGGCAGGUCCCCUGGGCACCCGAGGGUCCAGGACCUGAUCAGGAACUGAGCCGCUUGCUGACACCCAGACACAGAUCUGGGCCUCUUCUUAUUUUGAAGCUUUUUGUCACUGAGAGCUAUGAGCAGGGACGAAUUGGCCCCUGUGUUAUAACUGCAGGCCACCGUGUCUACGUCGAGAUUUUAGCCAAAGGGCCCUUCAUCGACACCGUGGAAGUGAACUCAUGUGUGGUCUCUCCUCUGUCAGACCCAAAGAAGUCUGCUUUCUGGAUGGUCAUAGGUGAUGGCUGUUCCUCAGACCCCUCACUGACCCUUGAUGCAAAAGAAGAAGGAGACGGUGAUCUGGAAGAGGAAAAGGAAGAGAUGGAGGCACUGGAAACAGACAGAGCUCGUGACAGAGACGGAGAAGUCGAAAGCGAAGGGAGAGAAGUGCUGGAAAGGAUGAAAAAGAGCAGCAUGAGUAGGGCCUUGAGAUUUAGUUUCAUCCUGCGGCCAGUUUAUAAUGACUCUAUGCAGUUCCUGCACUGCAGCCUUCAACUGUGUGCCUCUGACUUGACAAAAGGGGAACCCACGAAGGAAACGGUGAACAAUGACUGUCAGGGCAGGACACGCAUCCCUCCCCUCGUGUCAGGAUCACCCAGACAUCAGUGUGAGAUCAGAAACCUCUCCAGGCCCAUGGUGGUCACUCAGUCAAUUAGUUCGCUGGCAACCAAUCUGCUGAGGCCCCCUGCUGGCCAAAGAACCAAGAGGCUGAGUGCGUCCCCAGUGACCAGUCCAGAUCCAGAGCACAGCAGCUCAGCAGUGCAGAUGGGACCAGUGAUGGGAAGUGUCUUUGCUGCCUUUGUGAUGGGUGUCGGUCUAAUGGGGGGGCUGUGGUGCAUCUAUUAUCAUACAGGGGCACGUCAAGCAUCACUUCAAGAAGGUCAUUUAACAGACCAGGCUCAUGCAGUCUACGACAACUGGAACCCACUUUCAAUAUCUGACCAGUCCAUCAGCUCUGUGUAGACAUAGAGACAAGAAGCUGCAGACUGCAUUAGCCACUACCAGCAUAACACAUGAACAUGUGUGGGUGGAAACAUCACGAUGAAACAGUGUUUGCACCGAUUGCUGAAGAGGAGCAGGCGUCAGAAACCCCAAAACUUUCUGUCUACACUAAUCUGACCACCUCCAGGAUUUCCUCCCUGCAAAUCUGAGAAAGGAGAACUGGGACAGAGCUUCUAACAGCUGCCUUUGUAUCUGCAGAGCCUGUUUGUGCAGUUCUCCUCGUGAGCGUCAUUCAUCGCCGUGCAGCAGAAAUGCAAGAGGACCUGUGUGUACAGUGGCACUUAGUCAUUGCAGAUGUUUGAUUCAAAGCGAAACACUGUUUGUUACAUGCAGCACACCGUUCUUGAUCAAGUCGUUUCAAAACUGACAGCCAGUCAUCACAUGACUUUGAGACCUUAAUCUGGAUUCAACAGGAUCUUUACUUGGUUGUCGUGACUCACGGAAACCACAUCAUCGUCCUGCUUAGAGAUGGAACACAAGGUCAAAGAAGAGCCGAGGUUGCUGUGCAUGUGUUUGAGUCGAGUGCUUUACUGCGUCAUUUUCACUAUUCGUGUUUAAGCUGUGAACUGGUUGGACAUCAAAGCUGAAUUCAUCCUCAUGUGAAAUCAUUUGUGUUCAUGCAGCAAAUAAGAUGUGUUCAGAAAGUUUAAACCCACGUUGACUUGCUGUGUCGCUCUCAAAUCAUGUGCAACGAAAAUAAAAUGUUGUGAAUAAGUAUAUGGGACUGUAACGUAUAUUAAAAUAUUUGUUUAAACUU